AGAGAUCUUCGUUCUCUUUCUAGGUUUUCCCUUGGGAUUUUCACACCUCGAUCGUCCAUCCUUUCUUUUCAUAGAAAACCCUAGCUCCGGCUCCUCUUCCUAUACUGAGAUUCUCCAACGCCGCCGCCUGGCGCAGUUUCCACCGAAGCAGCUAAAGCAGAACCCUUCCAUGGCAGCGGAAUCCGUUGCUCCGACUGCAAGAGACCUCCCGCCGAAGGUCUUUGGGACGGAGACUCCGCCGGAAAAGCCCCGGGGUCGGGUUCUCCCAUCCAGAUGUUCAGCAGAUGGCGAUGCUGGAGCUUGGACCCUCUCGAGCAUAAUGCAGAAACUAUCCAAGGGAGACGAACUUGAAAGCUCGAAUGAUCGGAAUUCGGAUGCCAAGAAGACAUGAUGUUCUGUGGUGUGUUUGAUGGCCAUGGCCCUUGGGGACACUAUGUAGCAAAAAGGGUCAGAGAAUCGCUGCCAUCAUCUCUGCUUUGCAAUUGGCAGGAGACUCUUGCUAUGAGCUCAAUUACAUCAGAAUUCCUUUUGGAAUCUGAUAAAAUGCUUAAUCGAUUUGACAUUUGGAAGGAAUCCUAUUUGAGAACUUAUUGAAAUGAGUGAUUCACUUGGGCAAAUGAAUCAUAACCUUGAAGGUUUUAAGAGUGAUCUGAAUGAAGUUACUAAGGGAAGGGAUUGCCUUGAUUCUGAGGUACUUGUCUUGAAAGAGCAGCUAGAAAUAGCACAAGUUGUUGCUGAAGAAAAUGAAGCAAUUACUAUAAAAGCUCGACAGAUGGCUGAGGCAAGGAAGAACUAUGCUGAAGAGGAGGAGAUGAAGCUGUUAGAGAAGUCUGUGGAAGAGCUAGAAUAUACUAUAAAUGUAUUGGAAAACAAAGUCAGC